rnacentral:snRNA from 1 species
GUGCUUGCUUCGGCAGCACAUGUACUAAAGUUGGAAUGAUACAGAGAAGAUUAGCACGGCCCCUGCGAAA